UCAGAAGUAGUAUAAAGGUAAGUAUGUGGGCUUUUCACGCCCAUGAUCCGAGUUCGAAUCUCGGCUUCUGAG